rnacentral:misc_RNA from 1 species
CAGGGAUAGCAGCGGAAAGCCCGAAGUGCGUCGGCCCGCGCGCGGCCGGACUUGUAGCGGAUAGCCCGGCCCGAG